UUUCUAUAUCUACCUGGAGGAGCUUGCUAUCUAACCGAUAAUCCACGUAAUACCUCACCAACUUUUGAUAUACAACCUGUAUACCAUCGUCGUCAGUCUACCUUUUAAAAGUAGUAUACAUAAUGAACUAACCCUUCUUAACGUCAGAUCGAGGUGCAGUUAAUAAGUUGGGGAUUAGUGAGCAACAAUAAUUUACCAAAAAAUAUAAAUAUGGAAAAAUGAAUGAAACAUCACUUAAAAAUAGAAUUCAAUAGUAACGACUAAAAAAAGAUAAUAGCCGUGAACCCUAGCCCUAGAAUACGC
rnacentral:rRNA from 1 species